AUGGAGAACAGCAGCGGCCGGGAGGUGCUUCCGAACGGAGGAGGAGCCGGGGGGAUGGGCAACGGCGCGGCUAACGGGCGGGCGGUGCAGGCGCUGCAGCGGAGCUUCGCCGAGGUGCAGGUGAUCCUGGAGAAGAACCGGAUUCUGAUCCAGGAGAUCACCCAGAACCAGGAGUCGCUCGAGGCCGGUGGCCUCAGCCGCAACGUCGCCCUCAUCCGCGAGCUCAACGGCAACAUCGCCCGCGUCGUCGACCUCUACAACGCCCUCUCCUGCUCCUUCUCCAGCUCCCUCACCAACGGCUCCGCCCCCGCUGCCUCCGACGCCUCCAAGGGGGGCUACAAGAGGCCGCGCCCUGCCCAGUAG
rnacentral:rRNA from 1 species